AGUAACACGUGGGAAUCUACCUUAAAGUGGGGAAUAACUGCUCGAAAGAGUAGCUAAUACCGCAUGUGGUCGAAGGACUAAAGCUUCUUCGUAAGAAGGGGUGCUUUAAGAUGAGCCUGCGUCUGAUUAGCUAGUUGGUGGGGUAAAGGCUUACCAAGGCAUUGAUCAGUAGCUGGUCUGAGAGGACGGACAGCCACACUGGGACUGCGACACGGCCCAG
rnacentral:rRNA from 1 species